GGGAGCGACUUGGCUUCGACAGGAGUAAGUCUGCUUAGAUGGCAUGUCGCUUUGGGCAAAGCGUAAAAAGCCCAAAUAAAAUUAAACGCAAACAACGUUAAAUUCGCUCCUGCUUACGCUAAAGCUGCGUAAGUUCAGUUGAGCCUGAAAUUUAAGUCAUACUAUCUAGCUUAAUUUUCGGUCACUUUUGAUAGUGUAGCCUUGCGUUUGACAAGCGUUGAGGUGAAUAAAGUCUUAGCCUUGCUUUUGAGUUUUGGAAGAUGAGCGAAGUAGGGUGAAGUAGUCAUCUUUGCUAAGCAUGUAGAGGUCUUUGUGGGAUUAUUUUUGGACAGGGGUUCGAUUCCCCUCGCUUCCACCA
rnacentral:tmRNA from 1 species